AAAGUCAUAAUGACUCUCGGCAACGGAUAUCUCGGCUCUUGCAUCGAUGAAGAACGUAGCAAAAUGCGAUACGUGGUGUGAAUUGCAGAAUUCCGUGAACCAUCGAGUAUUUGAACGCAAGUUGCGCCCAAUGUCUUUUGAUUGAGGGCACGUCUGCCUGGGUGUCACGC
rnacentral:rRNA from 1 species